CUGCCAAUAUUCUCAUUGCUCUGAUUAAUAAUCAGGACAGGCUAAACAUUUGCUGUAUAUAAUUUUUAAUUUUUAAUUUUAAUUUUUGUGGGUACAACAUUCGCUAUAUUGAGAUCAUGCAUGUGUCCUCAAACCUAGUUCUUUUCCUAAGUCUAGUUUUAUAAAUGCUAGUGAUGAAC
ensembl:snoRNA SNORA72 Small nucleolar RNA SNORA72